rnacentral:tRNA from 1 species
GCAUUUGUUGUUCAGCAGUAGAAUUGUCGCUUUCCAUGCGGGAGACAUGGGUUUAAUUCCCAGCCAAUGUA